UCUUUUCUGGGGGAAGAAUAAGGGCGGGAGGAAAUGCCCGUCCGAUGACGGUACCCCAGGAAUAAGCAUCGGCUAACUUCGUGCCAGCAGCCGCGGUAAGACGAAGGAUGCAAGCGUUAUCCGGAAUUACUGGGCGUAAAGGGCGCCUAGGCGGCUGAGUAAGUCACCCGUGAAAGCCCUCAGCUCAACUGAGGAAUGUCGAGUGAAACUGCUCAGCUUGGGUGCAGGAGAGGAGGGUGGAACUCACAGAGUAGCGGUGGAAUGCGUAGAUACUGUGAGGUACCCCGAUGGCGAAGGCAACCCUCUGGCCUGCUACCGACGCUGAAGCGCGAAAGCGUGGGGAGCAAAGGGGAUUAGAUACCCCCGUAGUCCACGCCGUAAACGAUGUUCACUGGGUGUCGGUCGCUAAUACAGAUCGGUGCCGGAGCUAACGCGUUAAGUGAACCGCCUGGGGAGUACGGCCGCAAGGCUAAAACUCAAGAGAAUUGACGGGGCCCCGCACAAGCGGUGGAGCACGUGGUUUAAUUCGAUGAUAAGCGAAGAACCUCACCUGGGUUUGACAUGCUAGUGGUAGGAACCGGAAACGGGGACGACCCUUGCCUUCGGGCAAGGGAGCUAGUACAGGUGAUGCAUGGCUGUCGUCAGUUCGUGUCGUGGGACGUUGGGUUAAGUCCCGAAACGAGCGCAACCCCUGUUGUCAGUUGCCAGCGGGUAAAGCCGGGGACUCUGACGAGACUGCCGGUGAAUAGCCGGAGGAAGGAGGGGAUGACGUCAAGUCAUCAUGUCCCUUAUGCCCAGGGCGACACACAUGCUACAAUGGGGGGUACAAAGGGCUGCAAUGCCGUAAGGCUGAGCCAAUCCCAAAAAACCUUCCUCAGUUCGGAUUGAGGUCUGUAACUCGACCUCAUGAAGCCGGAAUCGCUAGUAAUCGCAGGUCAGCCACACUGCGGUGAAUAUGUACUCGGGGCUUGUACACACCGCCCGUCACACCAACCGAGUGGGGGGUACUUAAAGUCGCUCUUUAUAGAGCGCCAAGGGUAACCUCUGCAAGAGGGGUG
rnacentral:rRNA from 1 species